GCAGCCGUGGCCUACUGGUUAGGGCUUCAGGUUUUGGAACCGAAGGGUUGCCGGUUCGAUCCCCGACCAGUAGGA
rnacentral:tRNA from 1 species